GGUUAAGCGACUAAGCGUACACGGUGGAUGCCCUGGCAGUCAGAGGCGAUGAAGGACGUGCUAAUCUGCGAAAAGCGUCGGUAAGGUGAUAUGAACCGUUACAGCCGGCGAUGUCCGAAUGGGGAAACCCAGUGCAAUUCGUUGCACUAUCGUUAACUGAAUACAUAGGUUAACGAGGCGAACCGGGGAACUGAAACAUCUAAGUACCCCGAGGAAAAGAAAUCAACCGAGAUUCCCCCAGUAGCGGCGAGCGAACGGGGAGCAGCCCAGAGUCUGAAUCAGCUUGUGUGUUAGUGGAACGGUCUGGAAAGUCCGACGGUACAGGGUGAUAGUCCCGUACACCAAAAUGCACAGGCUGUGAACUCGAAGAGUAGGGCGGGACACGUGGUAUCCUGUCUGAAUAUGGGGGGACCAUCCUCCAAGGCUAAAUACUCCUGACUGACCGAUAGUGAACCAGUACCGUGAGGGAAAGGCGAAAAGAACCCCGGCGAGGGGAGUGAAAAAGAACCUGAAACCGUGUACGUACAAGCAGUGGGAGCACCUUCGGGUGUGACUGCGUACCUUUUGUAUAAUGGGUCAGCGACUUAUAUUCUGUAGCAAGGUUAACCGUAUAGGGGAGCCGCAGGGAAACCGAGUCUUAACUGGGCGUUAAGUUGCAGGGUAUAGACCCGAAACCCGGUGAUCUAGCCAUGGGCAGGUUGAAGGUUGGGUAACACUAACUGGAGGACCGAACCGACUAAUGUUGAAAAAUUAGCGGAUGACUUGUGGCUGGGGGUGAAAGGCCAAUCAAACCGGGAGAUAGCUGGUUCUCCCCGAAAGCUAUUUAGGUAGCGCCUCGUGAAUUCAUCUUCGGGGGUAGAGCACUGUUUCGGCUAGGGGGUCAUCCCGACUUACCAACCCGAUGCAAACUACGAAUACCGAAGAAUGUUAUCACGGGAGACACACGGCGGGUGCUAACGUCCGUCGUGAAGAGGGAAACAACCCAGACCGCCAGCUAAGGUCCCAAAGUCAUGGUUAAGUGGGAAACGAUGUGGGAAGGCACAGACAGCCAGGAUGUUGGCUUAGAAGCAGCCAUCAUUUAAAGAAAGCGUAAUAGCUCACUGGUCGAGUCGGCCUGCGCGGAAGAUGUAACGGGGCUAAACCAUGCACCGAAGCUGCGGCAGCGACACUAUGUGUUGUUGGGUAGGGGAGCGUUCUGUAAGCCUGCGAAGGUGACCUGUGAGGGUUGCUGGAGGUAUCAGAAGUGCGAAUGCUGACAUAAGUAACGAUAAAGCGGGUGAAAAGCCCGCUCGCCGGAAGACCAAGGGUUCCUGUCCAACGUUAAUCGGGGCAGGGUGAGUCGACCCCUAAGGCGAGGCCGAAAGGCGUAGUCGAUGGGAAACAGGUUAAUAUUCCUGUACUUGGUGUUACUGCGAAGGGGGGACGGAGAAGGCUAUGUUAGCCGGGCGACGGUUGUCCCGGUUUAAGCAUGUAGGCUGGUUAUCCAGGCAAAUCCGGAUAAUCAAGGCUGAGGUGUGAUGACGAGGCACUACGGUGCUGAAGUAACAAAUGCCCUGCUUCCAGGAAAAGCCUCUAAGCAUCAGGUAACAUCAAAUCGUACCCCAAACCGACACAGGUGGUCAGGUAGAGAAUACCAAGGCGCUUGAGAGAACUCGGGUGAAGGAACUAGGCAAAAUGGUGCCGUAACUUCGGGAGAAGGCACGCUGGUGUGUAGGUGAAGUCCCUGCGGAUGGAGCUGAGACCAGUCGAAGAUACCAGCUGGCUGCAACUGUUUAUUAAAAACACAGCACUGUGCAAACACGAAAGUGGACGUAUACGGUGUGACGCCUGCCCGGUGCCGGAAGGUUAAUUGAUGGGGUUAUCCGUAAGGAGAAGCUCUUGAUCGAAGCCCCGGUAAACGGCGGCCGUAACUAUAACGGUCCUAAGGUAGCGAAAUUCCUUGUCGGGUAAGUUCCGACCUGCACGAAUGGCGUAAUGAUGGCCAGGCUGUCUCCACCCGAGACUCAGUGAAAUUGAACUCGCUGUGAAGAUGCAGUGUACCCGCGGCAAGACGGAAAGACCCCGUGAACCUUUACUAUAGCUUGACACUGAACAUUGAGCCUUGAUGUGUAGGAUAGGUGGGAGGCUUUGAAGCGUGGACGCCAGUCUGCGUGGAGCCAACCUUGAAAUACCACCCUUUAAUGUUUGAUGUUCUAACGUUGGCCCCUUACCGGGGUUGCGGACAGUGUCUGGUGGGUAGUUUGACUGGGGCGGUCUCCUCCCAAAGCGUAACGGAGGAGCACGAAGGUUAGCUAAUCCUGGUCGGACAUCAGGAGGUUAGUGCAAUGGCAUAAGCUAGCUUGACUGCGAGCGUGACGGCGCGAGCAGGUGCGAAAGCAGGUCAUAGUGAUCCGGUGGUUCUGAAUGGAAGGGCCAUCGCUCAACGGAUAAAAGGUACUCCGGGGAUAACAGGCUGAUACCGCCCAAGAGUUCAUAUCGACGGCGGUGUUUGGCACCUCGAUGUCGGCUCAUCACAUCCUGGGGCUGAAGUAGGUCCCAAGGGUAUGGCUGUUCGCCAUUUAAAGUGGUACGCGAGCUGGGUUUAGAACGUCGUGAGACAGUUCGGUCCCUAUCUGCCGUGGGCGCUGGAGAAUUGAGGGGGCUGCUCCUAGUACGAGAGGACCGGAGUGGACGCAUCACUGGUGUUCGGGUUGUCAUGCCAAUGGCACUGCCCGGUAGCUAAAUGCGGAAGAGAUAAGUGCUGAAAGCAUCUAAGCACGAAACUUGCCCCGAGAUGAGUUCUCCCUGAGACUUUAAGUCUCCUGAAGGAACGUUGAAGACGACGACGUUGAUAGGCCGGGUGUGUAAGCGCAGCGAUGCGUUGAGCUAACCGGUACUAAUGAACCGUGAGGCUUAACCUU
rnacentral:rRNA from 1 species